rnacentral:rRNA from 1 species
CAGGAUGAACGCUAGCGGCAGGCUUAACACAUGCAAGUCGAGGGGCAGCGAGAUCAGUGCUUGCACUGAUUGUCGGCGACCGGCGCACGGGUGCGUAACGCGUAUGCAACCUACCCAUUACAGGGGGAUAACACUGAGAAAUCGGUACUAAUACCCCAUAACAUCCAGGGAGGCAUCUUCUUGGGUUGAAAACUCCGGUGGUAAUGGAUGGGCAUGCGUUGUAUUAGUUAGUUGGUGGGGUAACGGCUCACCAAGACAACGAUACAUAGGGGGACUGAGAGGUUAACCCCCCACAUUGGUACUGAGACACGGACCAAACUCCUACGGGAGGCAGCAGUGAGGAAUAUUGGUCAAUGGACGCAAGUCUGAACCAGCCAUGCCGCGUGCAGGAAGACGGCUCUAUGAGUUGUAAACUGCUUUUGUACGAGGGUAAACGCAGAUACGCGUAUCUGUCUGAAAGUAUCGUACGAAUAAGGAUCGGCUAACUCCGUGCCAGCAGCCGCGGUAAUACGGAGGAUUCAAGCGUUAUCCGGAUUUAUUGGGUUUAAAGGGUGCGUAGGCGGUCGGAUAAGUUAGAGGUGAAAUCCCGGGGCUCAACUUCGGAAUUGCCUCUGAUACUGUUCGGCUAGAGAGUAGUUGCGGUAGGCGGAAUGUAUGGUGUAGCGGUGAAAUGCUUAGAGAUCAUACAGAACACCGAUUGCGAAGGCAGCUUACCAAGCUACUUCUGACGUUGAGGCACGAACGCGUGGGGAGCAAACAGGAUUAGAUACCCUGGUAGUCCACGCAGUAAACGAUGAUAACUCGUUGUCGGCGAUACAGUGUCGGUGAGUAAGCGAAAGCGAUAAGUUAUCCACCUGGGGAGUACGUUCGCAAGAAUGAAACUCAAAGGAAUUGACGGGGGCCCGCACAAGCGGAGGAACAUGUGGUUUAAUUCGAUGAUACGCGAGGAACCUUACCCGGGCUUGAAAGUUAGUGACGGAUCUUGAAAGAGGUCUUCCCUUCGGGGCACGAAACUAGGUGCUGCAUGGUUGUCGUCAGCUCGUGCCGUGAGGUGUCGGGUUAAGUCCCAUAACGAGCGCAACCCCUACCGUUAGUUGCCAGCAGGUCAAGCUGGGCACUCUGACGGGACUGCCGGUGUAAGCCGAGAGGAAGGUGGGGAUGACGUCAAAUCAGCACGGCCCUUACGUCCGGGGCUACACACGUGUUACAAUGGCAGGUACAGAGGGCAGCUACCCAGCGAUGGGAUGCGAAUCUCGAAAGCCUGUCUCAGUUCGGAUUGGAGGCUGAAACCCGCCUCCAUGAAGUUGGAUUCGCUAGUAAUCGCGCAUCAGCCAUGGCGCGGUGAAUACGUUCCCGGGCCUUGCACUCACCGCCCGUCA